AGAUUGUAGGCUGAAACUCGCCUAUAUGAAGUCGGAAUUGCUAGUAAUCGCGGAUCAGCAUGCCGCGGUGAAUACGUUCCCGGGCCUUGUACACACCGCCCGUCACACCAUGAGAGUCGAUAACACCCGAAGCCUGUAGUCUAACCGUAAGGGGGACGCAGUCGAAGGUGGGAUUGAUAAUUAGGGUGAAGUCGUAACAAGGUACC
rnacentral:rRNA from 1 species